rnacentral:rRNA from 1 species
UAGGGAAUCUUCGGCAAUGGACGGAAGUCUGACCGAGCAACGCCGCGUGAGUGAAGAAGGUUUUCGGAUCGUAAAGCUCUGUUGUUAGAGAAGAACGUUGGUAGGAGUGGAAAAUCUACCAAGUGACGGUAACUAACCAGAAAGGGACGGCUAACUACGUGCCAGCAGCCGCGGUAAUACGUAGGUCCCGAGCGUUGUCCGGAUUUAUUGGGCGUAAAGCGAGCGCAGGCGGUUCUUUAAGUCUGAAGUUAAAGGCAGUGGCUUAACCAUUGUACGCUUUAGAAGCUGGAGGACUUGAGUGCAGAAGGGGAGAGUGGAAUUCCAUGUGUAGCGGUGGAAUAAGUAGAUAUAUGGAGGAACCCCAGUGGCGAAGGCGGCUCACUGAUCUGAAACAGACGCUGAGGCUAGAAAGCGUGGGGAGCAAACAGG